UGGUAUAUUCUGUUUUUAUUAAGAAUGGGUAGCGGGUAUCGUAAGGUCGAGCACACUCGAAUGGAGAUUUCUUACUUGUUUUUAUUAUAUUAACAAAACCCGUUGGAAUAAUAAAAGCUUCAAAUUCCAAAUUCUAAAUUUAACAGUGUGCUUAAUAAAUGUAUUUAAGAAAAUCUUCUUAAAUAAAGUCAACAAAUUCGAAAUGUAAUAGGGCAAUCUUGUUAUGCAAUAUAUGUGACGUAAAUGUUAACCAAUUAUCUAAAAAUAUUUAUUCAUUUACGAUGUGGUAAAUUUAAAUUUAAUGCUAAUUUUCCGCAUUUCUACAAAAGACCUAUAAAAGGCCACCACCAAAAGCUUCUCAAUCAAUUCUAAAAUAAUCUGCAAAAAUGAAACUCUUGGCGUUAGUAAUGGGUCUGAUCCUCAUUUGCAGCGUUUAUUCCGCACCGCAAGGCAGAUGUGAUCCUCCGCCGAUCAACCCCGAUGAUAGAAUCUGGCCUCCACCUGACCUGAUCGAUCCCGAAUAUGGACCACCCUGGACGUGAAGUGAAGUUGCUUCAUAACUUAAAGUACGAAACUAAUUUAAUAAAAGAGCUGUUAUUUUGUAUACUUAAAGUGUGUAAUAAACAUACAUAUGUUAGUUUUGUAA